UAAGACGAACCGUGCGAACGUUGUUCGGAAUCACUGGGCUUAAAGGGCGCGUAGGCGGGCUCUCAAGUCAGGGGUGAAAUCCCGCGGCCCAACCGUGGAAGUGCCUCUGAUACUGGGGGCCUUGAGGGGGAUAGGGGCGUGCGGAACUUGGGGUGGAGCGGUGAAAUGCGUAGAUAUCCCAAGGAACACCGGUGGCGAAGGCGGCACGCUGGGUCCCUUCUGACGCUGAGGCGCGAAAGCCAGGGGAGCGAACGGGAUUAGAUACCCCGGUAGUCCUGGCCCUAAACGAUGGGUACUAGGUAGCGGCCUGACAUGGGGCCGCUGCCGAAGCAAAAGUGAUAAGUACCCCGCCUGGGGAGUAUGGUCGCAAGGCUG
rnacentral:rRNA from 1 species